UUAGCUUGUUGGUGGGGUAAAGGCUUACCGAGGCGAUGAUCAGUAGCUGGUCUGAGAGGAUGAUCAGCCACACUGGGACUGAGACACGGCCCAGACUCCUACGGGAGGCAGCAGUGAGGAAUUUUCCGCAAUGGGCGAAAGCCUGACGGAGCAAUGCCGCGUGAAGGAUGAAGGCCUAUGGGUUGUAAACUUCUUUUCUCAGAGAAGAAUUUUUGACGGUAUCUGAGGAAUAAGCAUCGGCUAACUCUGUGCCAGCAGCCGCGGUAAGACAGAGGAUGCAAGCGUUAUCCGGAAUGAUUGGGCGUAAAGCGUCUGUAGGUGGCUUAAAAAGUCUUCUGUCAAAGAUCAGGGCUUAACCCUGGGCCGGCAGGAGAAACUCUUAGGCUAGAGUUUGGUAGGGGCAGAGGGAAUUCCCGGUGGAGCGGUGAAAUGCGU
rnacentral:rRNA from 1 species